rnacentral:rRNA from 1 species
CGAGCACGCGCGUGUGGCAUAUCAAUAAGCGGAGGAAAAGAAACUAACAAGGAUUCCCUUAGUAACGGCGAGUGAAGCGGGAAGAGCUCAAAUUUGAAAUCUUCAAGGUUCUACCUUGACGAAUUGUAGUUUAUAGAAGUGUUUUCUGUUAGUAGGAGUGGCAAAAGUUCUUUGGAAUAGGACAUCAUAGAGGGUGAGAAUCCCGUAUUUGGUCAUUCCUCCUAGCGUUGUGAUACACUUUCAACGAGUCGGAUUGUUUGGGAAUGCAGUCCAAAAUGGGUGGUAAAUUUCAUCUAAAGCUAAAUAUUGGCGAGAGACCGAUAGCGAACAAGUACCGUGAGGGAAAGAUGAAAAGAACUUUGAAAGGAGAGUUAAACAGUACGUGAAAUUGUCAAAAGGGAAGCGUUUGACACCAGUGUUGUUUUUCCGAAAAUCAAUUACGAAUGUUUUAUUUUUGAGGAGUUAUGACUUCAUCGGCUUGCUCCUUUCUUUACUGAAACUUUCUUAAUGCACUUUUCGGUUAACAAGUCAACAUCAAUUUCUUUUGUUGUAAAAGGGUAUGAGGAAGGUGGCUUUCUUUUCGGAGAAAGUGUUUAUAGCCUUGUGCCUCUGCAAUCGGAGAGAUUGAGGUCUGCAGCGUAGAUCCUUCGGGGUUAGAUACGUAGAUGCUAAGUUAUAGUUUUUAUAGACAACUUGUUGACUAUGAUUAGUCAUGUAGCUUACUCGUUGACGCUAUUUUACCUACGCUUAGGAUGUUGAACUCUAUCACACACAG